rnacentral:tRNA from 1 species
CGGGGUGUAGCUCAGACUGGUAGAGCGCUACGUUUGGGACGUAGAUGUCGCAGGUUCGAAUCCUGUCACCCCGACCA